UACGUAGGUGGCGAGCGUUGUCCGGAUUUACUGGGCGUAAAGAGCGCGCAGGCGGUCGUACAAGUCGCGUGUGAAAGCCCCCGGCUCAACUGGGGAGGGUCACGCGAUACUGUUCGACUCGAAGGCAGGAGAGGGAAGCGGAAUUCCCGGUGUAGUGGCGAAAUGCGUAGAUAUCGGGAGGAACACCAGUGGCGAAGGCGACUUCCUGACCUGUUCUUGACGCUGAGGCGCGAAAGCUAGGGUAGCAAACGGG
rnacentral:rRNA from 1 species